CAAAAGUUCACUUGAGUAUCUGGGACAUGUGAUUGAUGCAUCAGGGCUUCACAAGUCCACAGACAAACUGUGUGCUAUCGCAGAAGCACCAGCCCCUGUUAACAUUAACCAACUCCGAUCCUUUCUGGGACUGGUUAAUUAUUAUGCCAGAUUUGUGCCAAACCUGGCCACGGUGAUUCACCCCCUGAAUGCAAUGCUACACAAAGAGGCAAAAUGGAAUUGGUCUUCUGAGUGUGAGAAGGCGUUUUAGGAUGUUAAAACUAAAUUAUUAACACCCAAUGUACUCACACACUAUAACCCAAGACUCCCAGUUCGCUUGGCUUGUGAUGCUUCGCCCUAUGGGGUGGGAGCUGUACUUUCACACAUGAUGCCGAAUGGGCAAGAAAGACCUAUAGCCUUUGCCUCCCGAACCAGUCAUUUCACAUUACUAACAGAUCAUCGUCCACUUACCACCAUACUCCAUCCUAACAAAGCAACUCCAUCCAUGGCUGCGGCAAGACUCCAGAGGUGGGCCCUUCUGCUGGCUGCACAUAAUUACACAAUUCAGUAUAGAAGUGCUAACAACCAUGGAAAUGCUGAUGGUUUAUCUCGAUUGCCACUGCCUGCACAGCAUAGCGACAGGGAAGAUGCAGUGGAGGCUUACCUCAUUAAAAAAAUGGAUGCACUUCCAGUGGGUAGCAGUGACAUCAGGAAGGAAACCCGAGCAGAUCCGAUUCUCUGUCGUAUAAAGGAGAUGGUAUCCACAGGAUUAUUCUCACCUAUAAAAGACUCAGAAAAUGUACUAAAACCAUAUCUCACGAGGAAGGAGGAACUCUCACUGAUGCAGGACUGUCUGAUGUGGGGACAACGAGUCAUUGUUCCACCGAAUCUGAGACAACGAGUUUUAGAGGAUUUACACACAGGAUAUCCAGGUGUAGUAAAAAUGAAGGCUCUAGCACGUAGCUACAUUUGGUGGCCAAAUAUCGACUCCCAAAUUGAAGAAAGAUCAAAGACCAGCAUCUCCUGUCAACAAAAUCAAAAAUCUCCAUGUCUCUCAUCUUUACACCCCUGGUCAUGGCCAGAAGCCCCUUGGCAGCGGAUUCACAUCGACUUCGUGGGACCAUUUGAGGGA
rnacentral:lncRNA from 1 species